CAGGACUACCACGACAGCAACAGUAC
rnacentral:piRNA from 1 species